CACAGACCCGUACCUGUAUAAAUCCUAAUUCCGCGCCACCGAAUCCCACCGCCCUUGGGUGGCGGCGCCGAUUCCAAACUCCACCACAAUAUUACCCCUGAACAAGCAGACCACCCCCAUUACGAAUCCAUGAACCAUUUGCCUCGAACCAAAUCACACCUGCUCGAAUCUUGGUUUGAAAAUCUGCCCCAAAACCAAAAUCGUCCAAAUCCAACAAAACUUACACCCUACAACCUCCUUGACUUCCCCAUGAUGGAACCCAAACCAAAAUCUUUCAAAUCUAAGCCAAAGUCCAUUAAUUCAGAUCUAUGGUUCACUAUCGAGACCUUUUAAAUGUUCGGCUGGUGUUCCAGUGAUUUUGAAAUCAUAUUAUGUGUUUGUUCUUACUAAGAACAAACACAUAAUAUAGUUUAAAGAUCAAUUUCGAGUUCGGUCAAGUCCAACACAAAUUAGUGAGUUUCUCUUUGUUUUUUCUUUUCUUUCUUUGUUUCCUUCUUUCUACUUCAUGUGUGAUGGAUUAUCUAUAUGUGCAAUUUGGUUUAAAUUUAGUCUCAAUCCCACUUCUUUUUUAUCCGUGUAUUGUUCUGGUUUCCCAAUUAAUUUCGUUCGUAAUUCAUGAUAUAGUAAUUCACGAUUAAGUCUUUUUGUUUGUUGUUACGAAUUCAACUAAUUAGUUAGUGUUCUAUUUGCAUCUUUUGAAGUCAACCAGUGUUCUGAUAAGUAUUGGUUUGAAUCGGCUAAUUAGUUUGAAUUUGGAUUCAUUUAAAAUAAUAAUUAGCAUGUUAUUUUUACAUAUUUUGACAUUAUCAGUUAGUUCAAUUAUUGAUAGCAAUUGAUAGUUUGAACUUCAGUAAUUAGUUUGCAUUUGAGAUUCAAAGUUGAGAUUAGUUUUAGCUGUUUGAGUUGUUGAAUGACUGGUUUAACAACAGUCAUUUGACCAAGGUUGAAAGAGGUUAGGCAGUUAGUAAUUUUAGGGGGGUUUCAAGGGCUUUUUAGGGAUAGAAAAGGGUAGAAUCCUUAUGUUUUGUAAUUUUUAAAACAAGAAAAGGGUAGCUUAGGAAUUGUACAGCUAAAAGAGCAUUAUAGAAGCUCCUAAAAUAUGACUAUACUGAAGAUUUCAAUAAACGAGGGCAGUAACUUGAGAAAAAAGUUAGAAAAUGAGGGGUUAAAGUGAAAAAUGAGCUUGGACGGAAGUGAAAACAGAAAUUUGAAGAGAUGCCCUUAAUUUAGCCUAUAAAAUGCACCUCUAAUGCCUUCUUUCAGAUGUUUUUUGGACCUUAAAAAAGUUAUCCCAAAUAUUCUGCUCAAAUUUUAGAACUAAAGUUGAUUUUUAGUUCAGAAAUUAGCUCUUAGCUUUCCUUAGAUUCAAAAAACCAAAAACAUAGAUAGAAAACAUAAAAAAAAAUCAUUGUUUCAUUGAUUUUGGAUAGAUUCUGGAUUUUGCUUUGGAACAUUGUCUUACAACUGUGUUUUGGAUAUGUUUUUAGUUGAUCUGGGCUUAUUCUUGCUGGUUUAUGGUUUUUCUGUUGGGUAAUCAAGCUUCUGGGUGAUUUCAAGCAUAUUUAAGACUUAUCUGAUUGUUGAUUUCAUUCUUGGGCUGUAUUUGAUUGGCUGCUUGUUGCUGCUGACUUCUCGUUCUUCUUGUUCAAUUUCCAAUCUCCAGGUACACGCUUGAAAUUGGUACAAUGUAGUUGUUGAAUUAAAAUGCUGAAUUGAACUGUUUUCGUUGGAAUCGAUGUGUUCAAGCUGUUUUAGUGGAAUAAUAGUAGAUGAUUUUUUUUGUUUAGGAUUUAGUUUGAUUUGUUAAUUUGUAUUCGUUUAGGGUUCAGUUAGAUUUGUAAAUACAUCAUAUAGACUGGACAAACAUUGGACUAUAUAUGAGAACGUAUUAGACUGAUUUUGGGUGACUAUGAUAUAUGAGACUGUGCAUUUUUUAUAAGUCGUUCAGUUUGUUGAAUCCUUAAUAGUAGUAGCUGCGGAUAACUCACUAGGCUUUAGUAGUUUAAUCUUAUUUUUUUCAUACAUGUUAACUAAUGAAAUUAGAAUAGAAGCUGAAGUAAGAAUUGGUUUAUAAAUUUGUGGCCAUGUUUAUUAAUAAUUAAAAGGAGUGAAUUGUCUUGGAUGAUACAACUUUCCAUUUCACGUUUUAAAUUGUCCGAGUGUUAAUGUAGUGACGUGAGCUAAUCUUUCCAGGAUUGUUCUUUAUGCCUCGUCAAUUGGUGAACUGUUAGAUUCAUAGAUUACUAAUUGUUUGGAAUUAGUAUUUGUUUGGGUUGCAUUUGCUUCUGGUGGGAAUCGAUCUCCUGCCGACCCCAUGGGAGCCUGUGCGUUCAAAUUGGGCCCCAGCCCACAUCAAUUAUUUCCAUAUUGGAAACUCAAUGUCCCACUGCCGUUGCUCCUUUCCUUUUGGUAUAAUUGGGCCAGUCCAUUGGGCCCAUGUUUAAUGCUCUUUCAACUAGUUUAAGGUCCUGAUUUAUUUUUCAAAAUCGGGUAUUAAGUUAGGUAGCGGGUUUUAAACUAAAAGGUUCAUCCUUUUUCUUGAACCCGGACUUGAACCUAAAGCCCGAAUUUUAUUACAAUCAUUUAGGAUCUUUCUCGCUUUGUUAGAAAAAAAAUCAAUAUAGAAAAUAUAGUUAUCUUUUAGGUUAAUCCUUUUAAAAGAAAAUGAGACGAGCCUCGCCCAAGAAAAGUACAAAUCGCGGGGCCCUUAACAAAGGUUUAAAAAUAUUUUGAAAAAUCGGGAGGGGCCGUGCAAAUUUCACGACCCUCCCAAAAGAUAAUAACACGCUAGACUCUGUUAGGCGCAGCUUUAAUAAAUUACAUUCCUAAUUACAUGUGGGAAUUUUAUGCGGCCCAAAUCCAAAUCCUAAAAUGUUGAAUAAAGUGUGCCUAGGAUUGUGGGUUCAUUUGAUGCGGCGCAACCCGAAAACACAUUUUUAAAAAAUAUCUUAUUAAAUAAAAGCGGUAAAAAGUAAAAAUUGGCACGUAGGCUCUUCAUGUAAUAAAAUCAAAUAAAAGCUAAAUGUAGCAGUUAAGCGACCGUGCUAGAACCACGGAACUCAGAAAUGCCUAACACCUUCUCCCGGGUUAACAGAAUUCCUUAUCCAAAUUUUUGGUUCGCAGACUGUAACAGAGUCAUAUUUUUCCUCGGUUCGGGAAUCAACCGGUGACUUGGGAAACCAUUAAUCUCCCAAGUGGCGACUUUGAAUAAUUAAUAAUAAAUCUCGUUCCGAUUAUCCUUUAAUUGAAAAAACUCUUCUACGCUCUCUUUGCGGGGGUGUAUAGCAAAAAAGGAGGUGUGACAGCUCUGGCAACUAUGCUGGGGACAAGAACCCAGAACAUUUUGUUCAGGGUUCAGAAGUCGAGCUUAGAAUAAUUGUUGUGUUUAGUCUUAUCUGAUUUUGUUACAUGAUAUGUGCUUAAUGUGCUAAUUGAUUGCUUUUACCGCUUUUGAUAUUACGUGAACUGUAUAUAAAUUGCGCUAAACCAAAUCUCCUCUAUGAGUCUUCUAAAUUGUGAAGAAGGGUGUACGGUGUACGACUUCUUUUCUAUCUAGUAUCAAAAUCCCAAUUAGAACGAGGUUCGGAUAAGUCGCAAAGCUAGCGAAGCUUCUAUAUUCCCGGAAUUGCCUUCUCCCCCUUGAGCUGUCCGCUCGGGUAAGCCUGGUCUAGAACAAACACCCAGGUUUUGAACCUAGAAUAACUUAACCUCAUGUCGGAUUCGCAGUAGGAACGCUUAUCUGCAUCAUGUGCAUUUUGACUUAGGGGACUCAACCCAGGGGUUGGGUCCGUCUAGGGCUAGCAACAGGAAAUGAAAUGGCCAUCCUGAUGCAUCCUACUUGGUUUUCUGUGCAUUUAGUUGCUCGAUCCUGCAUAUUGACCGGAUUUCUGAAUCCCGGGAUAGUUAGAAAAUGAGAAAAAGAAGAAAAAGUGAAAAUAAUGAGUCAGGAAGUUAACUGAUGAGUUGAGAAAAACCAUUGCCCAAGUACUGCCAAGGUUCUGCCGAAAUUUUGAAAAAAAAUAUAAAAAAGAAUGUGAUAUCUUAUUUUUUUAAAUAGUUGUUUCAUUCAAAAGAGUCUGUCAUUUUUUGUCUUGUUUGCAAAAAUGAAAAAUGAAAAAAUAGUUUGUUUUGCCAUAAAAGUUGAAAAAAGCUUUUGAUUUUGCUUUCUUGCUUCAAAAUAGUUUAUUUGCCAACGAAAAUAGAGUGUUUCAUUAAAGAGAAACAGAGUCUUUAUUUUUAAUUCGAAUAAUAGGUGGUGAAAAAAGGGAGUCUUUAUUUUUUAAAUGGGAAAAUAGGUUGUUUGUUGAAAUGAAAAGAAACAUCGUAUUUUGUCUUGUUUUCAUAAAAUAGAAAAGGAGAAAUAGUUUGUUUUGCUACGAUAAUGAAAAAAAAGGUGCCUUUGUUUUAGUCCUAUUUUCGAAAAUGAAAAAAAGUGAGAUAGUUUAAUUAAAAUAGUUCGGCUAAUUUCCCGAACUAUGCAUGGUUUGAUUCUCACCGAACGUGAGAUACGUAGGCAACCCUUAUCGGGUCCAACCUCCCCUUUACAAAAAUAGCCCAAAAAUGUCGAAUUUUUAAUUUUUGCCGCAAAUAAGUCAAAUAAGGCGGCUUUGUCAAAAAUAGCCAAAUGUUCCCAAAUGGGACGCCGGAAGGUUGAAUUUGCGUAAGCGGCCGUUUCUGGUCGAAUGUGCUUUUAGGUUGACUACACAGCCUUUAAAUCUUCGUUUCCGAAGUGCCGAAGGGCCGCGUUUGAAAAUCAAGUCUUUUAUUUUCCAUUUUGAAACACACAAAAUAGCAUAUAAACAGUUUUAUCUCUUUUGAUUCGAAUAAAAGUUUUUCUUUUGCCUAAUCACCUUAAUAAAUGUGCAGGAUGAGCACAAAUCAUAUUGA
rnacentral:lncRNA from 1 species